rnacentral:rRNA from 1 species
AAUGGGGGCAACCCUGAUCCAGCCAUGCCGCGUGUGUGAAGAAGGCCUUAGGGUUGUAAAACACUUUCAAUCGUGAAGAUAAUGACGGUAGCGAUACAAGAAGCCCCGGCUAACUCCGUGCCAGCAGCCGCGGUAUACGGAGGGGGCGAGCGUUAUUCGGAAUCACUGGGCGUAAAGCGUACGUAGGCGGCUUGACGAGUCAGAAGUGAAAUCCCAGGGCUCAACCCUGGAACUGCUUUUGAAACUGUCUCGCUAGAAUAUCGGAGAGGUCAGGAGAAUUCCUAGUGUAGAGGUGAAAUUCGUAGAUAUUAGGAGGAAUACCAGAGGCGUAGGCGCCUGACUGGACGAUUAUUGACGCUGAGGUACGAAAGCGUGGGGAGCGAACAGGAUU